GGGGGCGUAAAGGUUUCGACGGGGAUUCUGAAGUGUGAUAAGCGAGUGGAGUUCGGCGUAAUCUCCUUAAUCUGCGCCACGUUUAAAUAUAAACGCUAGAAAUAAUAUCACUGUAAGCCGUAACAACGCUUUACAGGUAGCUGCCUAAGUCGGCUACUGUCCUGUGAUUGAGUACCGUGGCUUUCACAUGGGCAUUGACUAACGGUGAACGAUUCUUCGGCGUGUCCGUGCCGUUGAACUGUAUUCGGACUACCUGAGUUUUCAGCCCGUUUAUCGGCGGUUAGUUCAGGGAAUCUUAAUAGGUAAAAUACACUCGUAGAAAGUUGCAUGAAUGGGUUUUCGGACACGAGUUCAAUUCUCGUCGCCUCCACU
rnacentral:tmRNA from 1 species